rnacentral:lncRNA from 1 species
GGAGGGGUCAAUGUGGAGUCAAUGUGGAGUCAACGUGGUGGAAAAUUGGAUGAAAAGGGGAGAAAAAGGGGAGAAAAUGGCAAAGAGGAGUCAAAGUGGAGUCAAUGUGGAGUCAAUUUGGAGUCAAAAUGGAUGAAAUGGGGAGAGGUCAACGUGGUGUCAAUGUGGAGUCAAUGUGGAGUAAAAAUGGAUGAAAUGGGGAGAAAAAGGGGAGAAAAUGGCAAAGAGGAGUCAAUGUGGAGUCAAUGUGGAGUCAACGUGGUGUGAAAUUGGAUGAAAAGGGGAGAAAAAGGCAAAGAAGAGUCAAAGUGGAGUCAACGUGGUGUGAAAAUGCAUAAAAUGGGGAGAAAAGGUCAAGAAAAGCGAUGAAAUGGGGAGGAAAAGGGGAGAAAAUGGAGGAAAUGGGGAGAAAAGUUGGGGAAAAUGGAGGAAAUGUGGAGGAAAGUUGGAGGAAAUAUGAAGAAAGGUGGGGAAAAUGGAGGAAAAGGUGGAGAGAAUUGAGGAAAUGGGGGGAAAAGGUGUGGAAAAUGGAAGAAACGUGGAGGAAAUGGAGAGAAAAGUGGAAAUAAAGAGGAAAUGGAGUGGAAGUGAAGUGAAAGUGGAGUGAAAACGAAGAGGAAACGAAGUGGAGUAGAAGAAGAAAUAAAGAAGAGAUGGAGUGAAGAGGAAAUGGAGCAGAAAUAAAGAGAAAAUAAAAAGGAAACAAAGUGGAUAAAAAAAGAAAUGAAGAAAUGGAGUGAAGUAAAGAGGAAAUGGAGUGGAAAUGGAGAAGAAAUAAAGAGAAAACAAAGUGGAGUGGAAGUGGUAGUAAAGAGAACAUAAAGAGGGACUGGAGUGGAAGUGGAGCGAAAGUGGAGUGGAAGUGGAGCGGAAGAGGAAAUAAAGAGGAAAUUGAGUGAAAAUGGAGUGAAUGUGGAGCGGAAGUGGUGGUGAAGAGAAGAUGAAGUGGAGCGAAAGUGGAGCAGAAAUAAAGAGGAAAUAAAGUGGAGCAGAAGAGGACUGGAAGUGGAAAUAAAGAGGAAAUUGAGUGGAAGUGGUGCAAAUGCAAAGUGGAAGUGGUGCAGAACUGAAGAGGAAAUGAAGUGAAAGUGGUGUGAAUGCAAAGCGGAAGUGGUGCGGAAGUGAACUGGAAAUGGAGUGGAAGUGGAGCGAAUGCAAAGCAGAAGUGAAGUGGAAGUGAAGAGCAAAUGGAGUGGAAUUGGAGUGGAAGUGGAGAGGAAAUGGAGUGGAAGUGGUGUGAAUGCAAAGCGGAAGUGAUGCGGAAGUGGAGAGGAAAUGGAGUGGAAGUGGAGCGAAUGCAAAGCAGAAGUGAAGCGGAAGUGAAGAAGAAAUGGGGUGGAAGUGGUGCAAAUGCAAAGCAGAAGUGGAGCGGAAGUGAAGAGGAAAUGGAGUGGAAGUGGAGUGGAAGUGAAGAGGAAAUGGAGUGGAAGUGGAGCGAAUGCAAAGCAGAAGUGAAGCGGAAGUGAAGAAGAAAUGGGGUGGAAGUGGUGCAAAUGCAAAG